UGACGACGUUGUUAAGACGAACCCUAGC
rnacentral:sRNA from 1 species